UUNANNNNNNNNNAAGUCGAACGGUAACAGGAAGAAAGCUUGCUUUCUUUGCUGACGAGUGGCGGACGGGUGAGUAAUGCUUGGGAAUCUGGCUUAUGGAGGGGGAUAACUACUGGAAACGGUAGCUAAUACCGCGUAAUGUCUACGGACUAAAAGGGGCGAAAGCUCUUGCCAUAAGAUGAGCCCAAGUGGGAUUAGGUAGUUGGUGAGGUAACGGCUCACCAAGCCGUCGAUCUCUAGCUGGUCUGAGAGGAUGACCAGCCACACUGGAACUGAGACACGGUCCAGACUCCUACGGGAGGCAGCAGUGGGGAAUAUUGCACAAUGGGGGAAACCCUGAUGCAGCCAUGCCGCGUGAAUGAAGAAGGCCUUCGGGUUGUAAAGUUCUUUCGGUGAUGAGGAAGGUGUAAUGGUUAAUACCCAUUACAAUUGACGUUAGUCACAGAAGAAGCACCGGCUAACUCCGUGCCAGCAGCCGCGGUAAUACGGAGGGUGCAAGCGUUAAUCGGAAUAACUGGGCGUAAAGGGCACGCAGGCGGUUGUUUAAGUGAGGUGUGAAAGCCCCGGGCUCAACCUGGGAAUUGCAUUUCAGACUGGACAACUAGAGUACUUUAGGGAGGGGUAGAAUUCCACGUGUAGCGGUGAAAUGCGUAGAGA
rnacentral:rRNA from 1 species